GACGAACGCUGGCGGCGUGCUUAACACAUGCAAGUUGAACGGGUCAUAUGUGAAGGGUAACCGGAGUGUAUGGCUAGUGGCGAACGGGUGAGUAAUGCAUGAGAACGUAUCCUCAAGAGGGGGACAACAUUGGGAAACCGAUGCUAAUACCCCAUAAGCCGGGAGGUAAAAGGAGGAAUCCGCUUGAGGAGCGGCUCAUGUCCUAUCAGCUAGUUGGCGAGGUAACGGCUCACCAAGGCGAAGACGGGUAGCCGGCCUGAGAGGGUGAACGGCCACACUGGAACUGAGAGACGGUCCAAACGCCUACGGGAGGCAGCAGUGGGGAAUAUUGGGCAAUGGGGGAAACCCUGACCCAGCGACGCCGCGUGAGGGAAGAAGGCCUUAGGGUCGUAAACCUCUGUUGUGUGGGAAGAAGAGCGUGACGGUACCACACGAGGAAGUCCCGGCUAACUACGUGCCAGCCGCCGCGGUAA
rnacentral:rRNA from 1 species